UUUCUGGAUUCUGGGACUGCUCUGAAAUUGGGGUCACUUGGCUCUCAAAGCAGCACUCCAUAGGUGCACUACGAGUUCACCAGGCAGCCCUCUCCAGCAGUGUUUAUUAUACUUGUGUUUGCAACAUAUCUUAAAAAACAAGGGGGAAAAAUAUCUGAAACUGGACAUCUGACUGUGUAGAUGCUCCCCUGCUGCUGGCAGUAAACUGCAGGAGAUAUGGGACAAUCCUUGGGAGAGAACAAGAGGUGACUGAAGGUGCAGCCAUGCAGCUAACACACUGAGUGGGCAUUCCAGCAGGCCGGAUAAAAAUUAUUUAUGUUGUGGCUAUGUGUAAAAUGGCCUGGGCACUUUCCAAAUACAAGAGAAAAAACAAUCCUUGCACCCAAGGACUGGAGCAUGAGAGGACAGAUAGGCAUGUAGUGAAGGCUGUUUGAGGGCAGAGCAAAGAAACCGGAGGAUAAAGCUGAAGUCAGAAAUAACUGAAAGUUUCUGAAGUUGCUUGAUUUAUUUUAUGUCAAUACCGGAAGCCAUACUAAUACUAGUACUGUCAAUACUACUCCAAUCUCCUAUCUCUUUUACAAGCAUCUUCACUGUUUACCUUGUCUCAAAACCUUGGUUCCAGUACUAAGAUCCUUCAUGCUCUCCCUCUCAUCAGUUUCUUGGCUUCCAGUGCUUCCCUGAGAACAGCUGGCCUAUUUUUACUAAGUGGAGGUAUAGCCAAAACUAUUCUUCAAAGCACAGCCCUAAGAGCCUUUUCAGACACUUUCUAAGGUACCAGAAGAACUUCAGACACUUUAGGAGCUCUGACCAUUAGUGAAUGGUUGCUUGCAGGUAUUGAGAGAUACAAGUUUGGCUUUAAUUUCCUUCAGUAUCAAUCAUUUUUUUAUGGCUUUGAACCUCAACCUGGUAUAUGGCUACAGAAGAACUCUGUUGAAAUCACUUCUGUAUCAAGCUGACCUACUGUAGAAACUUGAAGCAGUGUAGCAACACCAGUAUGUCACUAGACAUGUGCCCAUUUGCAGGUAGCCUGGAUGAACUUCUGUUCUAGCACAACCAUGCAAUAACCCAGUCCCAGUUUGGCAAAUGCACCAUGUUGUGCACAAUGUGAGUGCACCAGCUCUCAUGGUGCUGGCUCCCUUCUCUCUUUCUUGUGAUUUUGGGUGCCGUUCAGACAUGCCCUUUCCUGAUGAAUCUGUAUCACAGUGGGAUUGCUGGCUCUGUCCCCCAACCAUUUUAAGUGCUGGCUUUCUCCCAGCCCUCCUAGAGAUGCUGACAGCCCCAGUGAAGUGGUGGUAUGCAACCCUGCCACCACAGAGCUGCUUGAAAGCAGGGGGCACAAUGCAUUUCUUAUAACACAUUAAUUAUGCUGAGAACUAUACCUGUGCAGAAACCACCUUGUUGGGAAAUCAGCAUGUAACUGCAGGAAGUCCAGAAAUAAACAGACAGAUUGUUACUCCAGCCUGCAAAAUGGUAGAUUCCUGCCAAAUGGGCUGUGGUUUCCUGCAUGAGCUUGGAACACGCCAGCGACACAAACGUGAAAGGUUUUGUGUCCUUUUUGCAGAAAGGCUGCUUUCUCUCCUCACUUGGAGGGAAGGAAUGACAAGUGGGAAAUGCUCUUGAUAGAUACCAAGUCUAUACUGAACAGUCUGCAUUGAAUGAAAUUUAUUUUUUUUUAAAUGUACCCUUGGUCAUGGAAGCUUCCACCAGGAGGAUAUCUGUCUAGUCAUGUCUCAGUGGCUGAAUUGUAUUGUACAUUUUACUGUGGUACUUGUAGAUAUUAAAGUGUCUGUUUAGGAUAAUAUUUUUCAUUGCUGGUUUUAGUGCUUAAAGAUUAAAGUUGUCUAAAAAGGUGUGUUGAAAGUGCCUAGGCAAAAUGGAUGCUUACUUU